GACGAACGCUGGCGGCGUGCUUAACACAUGCAAGUCGAACGAAGUGGCGAACGGGUGAGUAACGCGUAAUCAACCUGCCCUUCAGAGGGGGACAACAGUUGGAAACGACUGCUAAUACCGCAUACUGAAGGGGGGGAUUGCGUUUGAUUAGCUAGUUGGAGGGGUAACGGCCUACCAAGGCGAUGAUCAGUAGCCGGUCUGAGAGGAAGAACGGCCCCAUUGGGAAUGAGAACCAGCCCAGACUCCUACGGGAGGCAGCAGUGGGGAAUCAUCCGAAAUGGGCGAAAGUCUGACGGAGCAACGCCGCGGUAGUGAUGACGGCCUUCGGGUUGUAAAGCUCUGUUAAGCGGGACGCGGUACCGGAAUAGAAAGCCACGGCUAACUACGUGCCAGCCGCCGCGGUAAUAC
rnacentral:rRNA from 1 species